CAGGUUGUUACAUUCACAGUUACUCAUAAAAGAAGAUGCAAAUAGUUCCUUAAAGUAAUUCGUAGCUGCCUUAGUUAUUUCCUUAUCUCUAGUUACCCAUUCUCCAUUCUUAUUGCGCAGCUUCCUUAUAGUAUUUUUCUUUUUGUGAUAACUAGCAAAACUAUAAAAGUAUGACGUAUUUCUAUCACCAAAUUGAAGCCAAGUUUAUGUCCAUCAAAAACCAUCCCUAUCGAUUUACCACCUAUGCUAUCAUCACGUAACCAUCUGCUUACCAUCACUGAACCCUUCUUGGCAGUGCUCUC
rnacentral:lncRNA from 1 species